UACGGGGGGGGCAAGCGUUGUUCGGAAUUACUGGGCGUAAAGGGCUCGUAGGCGGCCAACUAAGUCAGACGUGAAAUCCCUCGGCUUAACCGGGGAACUGCAUCUGAUACUGGAUGGCUCGAGUUUGGGAGAGGGAUGCGGAAUUCCAGGUGUAGCGGUGAAAUGCGUAGAUAUUGGGAGGAACACCAGUGGCGAAGGCGGCGCUCUGGGCCGGUACUGACGCUGAGGAGCGAAAGCGUGGGGAGCAAACAGG
rnacentral:rRNA from 1 species